AGAGUUUGAUUAUGGCCCAGGACGAACGCUGGCGGCGUGCCUAACACAUGCAAGUCGAACGGAGUCAGAAAGCUUGCUUUUGACUUAGUGGCGGACGGGUGAGUAACGCGUGAGUAACCUGCCUCUGAGAGGGGAAUAACGUUCUGAAAAGAACGCUAAUACCGCAUAACGUAUCGAAGCCGCAUGACUUUGAUACCAAAGAUUUUAUCGCUCGGAGAUGGACUCGCGUCCGAUUAGUUAGUUGGUGAGGUAACGGCUCACCAAGACCGCGAUCGGUAGCCGGACUGAGAGGUUGAUCGGCCACAUUGGGACUGAGACACGGCCCAGACUCCUACGGGAGGCAGCAGUGGGGGAUAUUGCGCAAUGGGGGCAAACCCCUGACGCAGCAACGCCGCGUGAAGGAUGAAGGUUUUCGGAUUGUAAACUUCUUUUAUCAGGGACGAAGCUUGACGGUACCUGAUGAAUAAGCUCCGGCUAACUACGUGCCAGCCGCCGC
rnacentral:rRNA from 1 species